UACAGAGGGGGCAAGCGUUGUUCGGAAUUACUGGGCGUAAAGGGCGCGUAGGCGGCCAACUAAGUCAGACGUGAAAUCCCCAGGCUCAACCUGGGAACUGCGUCUGAUACUGGAUGGCUUGAAUUCGGGAGAGGGAUGCAGAAUUCCAGGUGUAGCGGUGAAAUGCGUAGAUAUCUGGAGGAAUACCGGUGGCGAAGGCGGCAUCCUGGACCGACAUUGACGCUGAUGAGCGAAAGCUAGGGGAGCAAACGGG
rnacentral:rRNA from 1 species